AUCCAACUGAUGAGUCCCAAAUAGGACGAAACGCGUGUCCUGGAU
rnacentral:hammerhead_ribozyme from 1 species